GAAUUCGCCCUUAGAGUUUGAUCCUGGCUCAGGACGAACGCUGGCGGCGCGCCUAACACAUGCAAGUCGAACGAGCGAGAGAGAGCUUGCUUUCUCGAGCGAGUGGCGAACGGGUGAGUAACGCGUGAGGAACCUGCCUCAAAGAGGGGGACAACAGUUGGAAACGACUGCUAAUACCGCAUAAGCCCACGGCUCGGCAUCGAGCAGAGGGAAAAGGAGCAAUCCGCUUUGAGAUGGCCUCGCGUCCGAUUAGCUAGUUGGUGAGGUAACGGCCCACCAAGGCAACGAUCGGUAGCCGGACUGAGAGGUUGAACGGCCACAUUGGGACUGAGACACGGCCCAGACUCCUACGGGAGGCAGCAGUGGGGAAUAUUGCACAAUGGGGGAAACCCUGAUGCAGCGACGCCGCGUGGAGGAAGAAGGUCUUCGGAUUGUAAACUCCUGUUGUUGAGGAAGAUAAUGACGGUACUCAACAAGGAAGUGACGGCUAACUACGUGCCAGCAGCCGCGGUAAAACGUAGGUCACAAGCGUUGUCCGGAAUUACUGGGUGUAAAGGGAGCGCAGGCGGGAAGACAAGUUGGAAGUGAAAUCCAUGGGCUCAACCCAUGAACUGCUUUCAAAACUGUUUUUCUUGAGUAGUGCAGAGGUAGGCGGAAUUCCCGGUGUAGCGGUGGAAUGCGUAGUUAUCGGGAGGAACACCAGUGGCGAAGGCGGCCUACUGGGCACCAACUGACGCUGAGGCUCGAAAGUGUGGGUAGCAAACAGGAUUAGAUACCCUGGUAGUCCACACUGUAAACGAUGAUUACUAGGUGUUGGAGGAUUGACCCCUUCAGUGCCGCAGUUAACACAAUAAGUAAUCCACCUGGGGAGUACGACCGCAAGGUUGAAACUCAAAGGAAUUGACGGGGGCCCGCACAAGCAGUGGAGUAUGUGGUUUAAUUCGACGCAACGCGAAGAACCUUACCAAGUCUGGACAUCCUGCGACGGUGCUGGAAACAGUACUUUCCUUCGGGACGCAGAGACAGGUGGUGCAUGGUUGUCGUCAGCUCGUGUCGUGAGAUGUUGGGUUAAGUCCCGCAACGAGCGCAACCCUUAUGGUCAGUUACUACGCAAGAGGACUCUGGCCAGACUGCCGUUGACAAAACGGAGGAAGGUGGGGAUGACGUCAAAUCAUCAUGCCCUUUAUGACUUGGGCUACACACGUACUACAAUGGCGUUAAACAAAGAGAAGCAAGACCGCGAGGUGGAGCAAAACUCAGAAACAACGUCCCAGUUCGGACUGCAGGCUGCAACUCGCCUGCACGAAGUCGGAAUUGCUAGUAAUCGCAGAUCAGCAUGCUGCGGUGAAUACGUUCCCGGGCCUUGCACACACCGCCCGUCA
rnacentral:rRNA from 1 species